rnacentral:rRNA from 1 species
GGAAUAUUGGACAAUGGGCGAAAGCCUGAUCUAGCAAUGCCGCGUGAGUGAUGAAGGCCUUAGGGUUGUAAAGCUCUUUUACCCGGGAUUAUAAUGACUGUACCGGGAGAAUAAGCAUCGGCUAACUCCGUGCCAGCAGCCGCGGUAAUACGGAGGGGGCUAGCGUUGUUCGGAAUUACUGGGCGUAAAGCGCGCGUAGGCGGCUUUGUAAGUUAGAGGUGAAAGCCCGGAGCUUAACUCCGGAACUGCCUUUAAGACUGCAUCGCUAGAAUUGUGGAGAGGUAAGUGGAAUUCCGAGUGUAGGGGUGAAAUUCGUAGAUAUUCGGAAGAACACCAGUGGCGAAGGCGACUUACUGGACACAUAUUGACGCUGAGGUGCGAAAGCGUGGGGAGCAAAC